rnacentral:rRNA from 1 species
UAGCCGUAAACGAUACUCGCUAGGUGUCGGCCACGGUGCGACCGUUGUCGGUGCCGUAGGGAAGCCGUGAAGCGAGCCACCUGGGAAGUACGGCCGCAAGGCUGAAACUUAAAGGAAUUGGCGGGGGAGCACCACAACGGGUGGAGCUUGCGGUUUAAUUGGACUCAACGCCGGGAAGCUUACCGGAUAAGACAGCGGAAUGAUUGCCGGGCUGAAGACCCUGCAUGACCAGCUGAGAGGUGGUGCAUGGCGUAGUCGUGU